rnacentral:rRNA from 1 species
UACGAAGGAUUCGAGCGUUAUCCGGCUUUAUUGGGUUUAAAGGGUGCGUAGGUGGUUUAAUAAGUCAGUGGUGAAAGCCCGAAGCUCAACUUCGGAACUGCCAUUGAUACUGUUAAUCUUGAGUACAGUUGAGGUGGGCGGAAUGUGUCAUGUAGCGGUGAAAUGCUUAGAUAUGACACAGAACACCGAUGGCGAAGGCAGCUCACUAAGCUGUAACUGACACUGAGGCACGAAAGCGUGGGGAGCAAACAGG